ACCUGCCUUAUAGUGGGGGAUAGCCUUUCGAAAGGAAGAUUAAUACCGCAUAAGAUUGUAGUAUCGCAUGAUAUAGCAAUUAAAGGAGCAAUCCGCUAUAAGAUGGACCCGCGUCGCAUUAGCUAGUUGGUGAGGUGAUGGCUCACCAAGGCGACGAUGCGUAGCCGACCUGAGAGGGUGAUCGGCCACAUUGGGACUGAGACACGGCCCAGACUCCUACGGGAGGCAGGCAUG
rnacentral:rRNA from 1 species